AAUGUUUUAGGUUAAAAAAACCUAUAGCCUUCAAAGCUAUAAUUGAGCCCCCUACUCAAACAUUA
rnacentral:tRNA from 1 species